UGGGGAAUAUUGGACAAUGGGCGCAAGCCUGAUCCAGCAAUGCCGCGUGAGUGAUGAAGGCCUUAGGGUUGUAAAGCUCUUUCGCACGCGACGAUGAUGACGGUAGCGUGAGAAGAAGCCCCGGCUAACUUCGUGCCAGCAGCCGCGGUAAUACGAAGGGGGCUAGCGUUGUUCGGAAUUACUGGGCGUAAAGGGCGCGUAGGCGGCCUGUUUAGUCAGAAGUGAAAGCCCCGGGCUCAACCUGGGAAUAGCUUUUGAUACUGGCAGGCUUGAGUUCCGGAGAGGAUGGUGGAAUUCCCAGUGUAGAGGUGAAAUUCGUAGAUAUUGGGAAGAACACCGGUGGCGAAGGCGGCCAUCUGGACGGACACUGACGCUGAGGCGCGAAAGCGUGGGGAGCAA
rnacentral:rRNA from 1 species